AGCCGGAAUAGCUCAGUUGGUAGAGCAGAGGACUGAAAAUCCUCGUGUCACCAGUU
rnacentral:tRNA from 1 species